GCGCCGGUGGUGUAAGGCAAACAUCGCUGCCCGGAAUCAGAAGAUGCUGGUUCGAGUCCCGCCUGGCGCA
rnacentral:tRNA from 1 species